CCGCUCCCCGGAACCAAAAUCACACGGCUGCUGUUUCCGCCCGGACCCAGUCCCACAUCAGAAGACCGGCCGUUUCCGGAUUCCUGCCUCCCAGCGUCUACAGCACUUUUUAAUAAUAAACUUGUUAAACUGC